rnacentral:misc_RNA from 1 species
AACCUAGCACACCUGCGGUGUGUACCUGCGGAAGGAUCAUUACAGAGUUAUCCAACUCCCAAACCCAUGUGAACUUAUCUCUUUGUUGCCUCGGCGCAAGCUACCCGGGACCCCGCGCCCCGGGCGGCCCGCCGGCGGACAAACCAAAACUCUUGUUAUCUUAGUUGAUUCUCUGAGCGUCUUAUUUAAUAAGUCAAAACUUUCAACAAUGGAUCU